UUAAGCGACUAAGCGUACACGGUGGAUGCCCUGGCAGUCAGAGGCGAUGAAGGACGUGCUAAUCUGCGAUAAGCGUCGGUAAGGUGAUAUGAACCGUUAUAACCGGCGAUUUCCGAAUGGGGAAACCCAGUGUGUUUCGACACACUAUCAUUAACUGAAUCCAUAGGUUAAUGAGGCGAACCGGGGGAACUGAAACAUCUAAGUACCCCGAGGAAAAGAAAUCAACCGAGAUUCCCCCAGUAGCGGCGAGCGAACGGGGAGCAGCCCAGAGCCUGAAUCAGUGUGUGUGUUAGUGGAAGCGUCUGGAAAGGCGCGCGAUACAGGGUGACAGCCCCGUACACAAAAAUGCACAUGCUGUGAGCUCGAUGAGUAGGGCGGGACACGUGGUAUCCUGUCUGAAUAUGGGGGGACCAUCCUCCAAGGCUAAAUACUCCUGACUGACCGAUAGUGAACCAGUACCGUGAGGGAAAGGCGAAAAGAACCCCGGCGAGGGGAGUGAAAAAGAACCUGAAACCGUGUACGUACAAGCAGUGGGAGCACGCUUAGGCGUGUGACUGCGUACCUUUUGUAUAAUGGGUCAGCGACUUAUAUUCUGUAGCAAGGUUAACCGAAUAGGGGAGCCGAAGGGAAACCGAGUCUUAACUGGGCGUUAAGUUGCAGGGUAUAGACCCGAAACCCGGUGAUCUAGCCAUGGGCAGGUUGAAGGUUGGGUAACACUAACUGGAGGACCGAACCGACUAAUGUUGAAAAAUUAGCGGAUGACUUGUGGCUGGGGGUGAAAGGCCAAUCAAACCGGGAGAUAGCUGGUUCUCCCCGAAAGCUAUUUAGGUAGCGCCUCGUGAAUUCAUCUCCGGGGGUAGAGCACUGUUUCGGCAAGGGGGUCAUCCCGACUUACCAACCCGAUGCAAACUGCGAAUACCGGAGAAUGUUAUCACGGGAGACACACGGCGGGUGCUAACGUCCGUCGUGAAGAGGGAAACAACCCAGACCGCCAGCUAAGGUCCCAAAGUCAUGGUUAAGUGGGAAACGAUGUGGGAAGGCCCAGACAGCCAGGAUGUUGGCUUAGAAGCAGCCAUCAUUUAAAGAAAGCGUAAUAGCUCACUGGUCGAGUCGGCCUGCGCGGAAGAUGUAACGGGGCUAAACCAUGCACCGAAGCUGCGGCAGCGACGCUUAUGCGUUGUUGGGUAGGGGAGCGUUCUGUAAGCCUGCGAAGGUGUGCUGUGAGGCAUGCUGGAGGUAUCAGAAGUGCGAAUGCUGACAUAAGUAACGAUAAAGCGGGUGAAAAGCCCGCUCGCCGGAAGACCAAGGGUUCCUGUCCAACGUUAAUCGGGGCAGGGUGAGUCGACCCCUAAGGCGAGGCCGAAAGGCGUAGUCGAUGGGAAACAGGUUAAUAUUCCUGUACUUGGUGUUACUGCGAAGGGGGACGGAGAAGGCUAUGUUGGCCGGGCGACGGUUGUCCCGGUUUAAGCGUGUAGGCUGGUUUUCCAGGCAAAUCCGGAAAAUCAAGGCUGAGGCGUGAUGACGAGGCACUACGGUGCUGAAGCAACAAAUGCCCUGCUUCCAGGAAAAGCCUCUAAGCAUCAGGUAACAUCAAAUCGUACCCCAAACCGACACAGGUGGUCAGGUAGAGAAUACCAAGGCGCUUGAGAGAACUCGGGUGAAGGAACUAGGCAAAAUGGUGCCGUAACUUCGGGAGAAGGCACGCUGAUAUGUAGGUGAAGCGACUUGCUCGUGGAGCUGAAAUCAGUCGAAGAUACCAGCUGGCUGCAACUGUUUAUUAAAAACACAGCACUGUGCAAACACGAAAGUGGACGUAUACGGUGUGACGCCUGCCCGGUGCCGGAAGGUUAAUUGAUGGGGUUAGCGCAAGCGAAGCUCUUGAUCGAAGCCCCGGUAAACGGCGGCCGUAACUAUAACGGUCCUAAGGUAGCGAAAUUCCUUGUCGGGUAAGUUCCGACCUGCACGAAUGGCGUAAUGAUGGCCAGGCUGUCUCCACCCGAGACUCAGUGAAAUUGAACUCGCUGUGAAGAUGCAGUGUACCCGCGGCAAGACGGAAAGACCCCGUGAACCUUUACUAUAGCUUGACACUGAACAUUGAGCCUUGAUGUGUAGGAUAGGUGGGAGGCUUUGAAGUGUGGACGCCAGUCUGCAUGGAGCCGACCUUGAAAUACCACCCUUUAAUGUUUGAUGUUCUAACGUGGACCCGUAAUCCGGGUUGCGGACAGUGUCUGGUGGGUAGUUUGACUGGGGCGGUCUCCUCCUAAAGAGUAACGGAGGAGCACGAAGGUUGGCUAAUCCUGGUCGGACAUCAGGAGGUUAGUGCAAUGGCAUAAGCCAGCUUGACUGCGAGCGUGACGGCGCGAGCAGGUGCGAAAGCAGGUCAUAGUGAUCCGGUGGUUCUGAAUGGAAGGGCCAUCGCUCAACGGAUAAAAGGUACUCCGGGGAUAACAGGCUGAUACCGCCCAAGAGUUCAUAUCGACGGCGGUGUUUGGCACCUCGAUGUCGGCUCAUCACAUCCUGGGGCUGAAGUAGGUCCCAAGGGUAUGGCUGUUCGCCAUUUAAAGUGGUACGCGAGCUGGGUUUAGAACGUCGUGAGACAGUUCGGUCCCUAUCUGCCGUGGGCGCUGGAGAAUUGAGGGGGGCUGCUCCUAGUACGAGAGGACCGGAGUGGACGCAUCACUGGUGUUCGGGUUGUCAUGCCAAUGGCACUGCCCGGUAGCUAAAUGCGGAAGAGAUAAGUGCUGAAAGCAUCUAAGCACGAAACUUGCCCCGAGAUGAGUUCUCCCUGACUCCUUGAGAGUCCUGAAGGAACGUUGAAGACGACGACGUUGAUAGGCCGGGUGUGUAAGCGCAGCGAUGCGUUGAGCUAACCGGUACUAAUGAACCGUGAGGCUUAACCUU
rnacentral:rRNA from 1 species